rnacentral:rRNA from 1 species
UUAUAAAAAAUAAUUAAAUUUAUUAGUGUGUAAAUUAAAUUAAAUAAAAUUAUUUAAAAAUUUUUUGUUUAAGUAAUAGAAUUGAAUAAAUUUUUUAAAUUAUAUUAAUAGUAAAGAAAUUGAAUUUUAUGGAAAAUAAAAAAGUAAAUUUAAAAUGUUGUAUCUUUUGUAUCAGAGUUUAUUAAUUAAAAAAUUAAAAUUUAAUAUUUCUCGAAUUUUAAAGAUCUAAUUUUUAAUGAUAGUUAAUGUGAAAUAAUUAUUAAAAAUUAAAAAUUAGUAGUGAAAAGUUAAACGGUUUAAAUGAUAUCUAGUUUUUUUAGAAUUGAAUUUAAUUCAGCAUUAAUUUUUUUUUUUAUUAUUUAUUAUAAUAAAAUAAUUUAAUAGAAAAUAUUUAAGGGAUAAACUAUAAAUAUAAUUAAUAAUUUAAAUAAAAUUUUUAAUAAAAAUAUUUAUAGUAAUAGAAAUUUUUAAUAAGUAUUUUAUAAUUUAUAAUUAUAAAGAAGAUAAUUUUAAUUUAAAUUUUAAAGUUUAUAAAAAAAAUAUUGAAUAAAUAUUAUUAUGAUAAAAUGAUAAAAUUAGUAAAAUAAAAUAUUUAAUAAUAAUAAUAAUUAAAAAUUAAUAUUAAAGAAUUAGACAAAAAUUUUAUUCACCUGUUUAUCAAAAACAUGGUCUAUAGAAUAUAAUUAUAGAUUAGUUCUGCCCAAUGAGGAUUAACUUUAAUGGCUGCAGUAUAUUGACUGUACAAAGGUAGCAAAAUCAAUUGUUUUUUAAUUAGAAACUGGAAUGAAAGAAUUCAUGAAAUAAAAAUUGUUUCAAUAUUAAAAAUUGAAUUUAAAAUUUAAGUUAAAAUGCUUAAAUGUAAUUAUUAGACGAGAAGACCCUAUAGAAUUUAAUAAAAUUUAAUAAUAAAAAUUUUUUUGUAAAUAAAUUUUUAUUUUUAAUUAUAUUUAAUUGGGAGGAUUAUAAAAUUUAAUAAACUUUUAUUAUUUUUAUAACAUAGAUAAAUGAAUUUUUGAUUAUUAUUAUAAUUAAAAGAAAAAAUUACCUUAGGGAUAACAGCGUAAUAUUUUUGGAGAGAUCAAAUUGAUAAAAGUGUUUGCGACCUCGAUGUUGAAUUAUGAUAUAAUUUAAGUGAAGAAAUUUAAAUUGUUAGUCUGUUCGACUAUUAAAAUCAUACAUGAUUUGAGUUCAGAUCGGUGUGAGCCAGAUCGGUUUCUAUCUAUAAUAUAUAAAAAUUUUUUUGUACGAAAGGACUAAAAAUUUAAAAUAUUUUUUUUGAAUAUUGAAUAAAAUUAAUAUUAUUAUUAUAUAAGUAAAGUUUAUAUUUAGAUU